AACGUAGGACGCAAGCGUUAUCCGGAGUUACUGGGCGUAAAGCGCGCGUAGGCGGACGCUUAAGUGUGGCCUGAAAGCCCCCGGCUCAACCGGGGAGGGUCGUCGGGGACUGGGGCGCUUGAGGGCGGUAGGGGCCGGUGGAAUUCCCGGUGUAGUGGUGAAAUGCGUAGAGAUCGGGAGGAACACCAGUAGCGAAGGCGGCCGGCUGGGCCGACCCUGACGCUGAGGCGCGAAGGCGUGGGGAGCGAACGGG
rnacentral:rRNA from 1 species